GGAGCCUGAGAAGUGACCCUGAUAUUGGACAUUAAGUGAUUUACACUGUUGGAGUCUGGUUCCGAAUUUAUCUGAUUGGCACUGUGCCUUGGUUUUCUCUCUUGAAAUACAAAGCAUAUCAUAAUACUGCUCAGCAAGCUGAGGUCGGCAAAGGACAAAUCGACCUAGUAAUUCCACGGCUGCCUCUCGAACGCUAGUGGAGUUAUCCAUUAAUCGUCCAUGAACUCCUCGCUGCAUGUCAAGCUAAGAAAGAGCGAGAGAAAUGUUACUUGUAGUAGCAAAGAUAAUCUUCAAAUUUGAAAAAAUAAAGAAGAAAU